rnacentral:rRNA from 1 species
GAUGAACGCUGGCGGCGUGCUUAACACAUGCAAGUCGAACGGAAAGGCCCAAGCUUGCUUGGGUACUCGAGUGGCGAACGGGUGAGUAACACGUGGGUGAUCUGCCCUGCACUUCGGGAUAAGCCUGGGAAACUGGGUCUAAUACCGGAUAGGACGAUGGUUUGGAUGCCAUUGUGGAAAGUUUUUUCGGUGUGGGAUGAGCUCGCGGCCUAUCAGCUUGUUGGUGGGGUAAUGGCCUACCAAGGCGUCGACGGGGAGCCGGCCUGAGAGGGUGUACGGCCACAUUGGGACUGAGAGACGGGCCAGACUCCUACGGGAGGCAGAAGUGGGGAAUAUUGCACAAUGGGCGCAAGCCUGAGGCAGCGACGCCGCGUGGGGGAUGACGGCCUUCGGGUUGUAAACUCCUUUCGCUAGGGACGAAGCGUUUUUGUGACGGUACCUGGAGAAGAAGCACCGGCUAACUACGUG